UCGAUAACGAACGAGACCUUAACCUGCUAAAUAGUUACAUAAACUUUGGUUUAUGAUUAACUUCUUAGAGGGACUAUAGACUUUUAGUCUAUGGAAGUUUGAGGCAAUAACAGGUCUGUGAUGCCCUUAGAUGUUCUGGGCCGCACGCGCGCUACACUGAUAAAGGCAACAAGUAAUUCACCUUGGCCGGAAGGUCUGGGUAAUCUUUUGAAACUUUAUCGUGCUGGGGAUAGUCCUUUGCAAUUAUUGGACUUGAACGAGGAAUUCCUAGUAAGCGUGAGUCAUCAGCUCGCGUUGAUUACGUCCCUGCCCUUUGUACACACCGCCCGUCGCUAAUACCGAUUGAAUGGCUGA
rnacentral:rRNA from 1 species